AACGAACGCUGGCGGCAUGCCUAACACAUGCAAGUCGAACGAUGGUCUUCGGAUCAUAGUGGCGCACGGGUGCGUAACGCGUGGGAAUCUGCCCUUGGGUUCGGAAUAACAGUUGGAAACGACUGCUAAUACCGGAUGAUGUCGAUAAGACCAAAGGUUUAUCGCCCGAGGAUGAGCCCGCGUCGGAUUAGCUAGUUGGUGGGGUAAAGGCCUACCAAGGCGACGAUCCGUAGCUGGGCUGAGAGGAGGCUCAGCCACACUUGGACUGAGACACGGCCCAGACUCCGACGGGAGGGAGCAGUGGGGAACAUUGGACAAUGAGCGCAAGCCUGAUCAAGCAAUGCCGCGUGAGUGAUGAAGGCCGUAGGGUUGUAAAGCUGUUUUACACGGGAAGAUAAUGACUGUACCGGGAGAAUAAGCCCCGGCUAACUCCGUG
rnacentral:rRNA from 1 species